rnacentral:RNase_MRP_RNA from 2 species
UCCUCGCUCAAAGAAUCGCAACGAAGCACGCACACAGAGUAUCCAUCGGAUAUCUCUCCAUCACCGCUUUGGGAGAAAGUCCCCGGACAUCGGUCUUUACGACCGCACUUUCAGCAACGAACCGCCAUAGAAGCGCGGCUUCCGUACCCUCAGGCCCUGCUUACCUCUCUUCCGUCUGGACUCUUUCCCCUCACUUUCCCGAAGCUGCAGGUGGAGGGGCUGACGCUUGGGCGAUGAUAUGAGUCCGUUGGCUACCUUGCUUGUGUUGCUAAGGGGAUGUUGAGGCUAAGAGGAGGAGGAGAGCUACCAGCCAGCAGUGCCGGUACGGGAGGUCUUCUCGUCCAGUUUAUGGUUAUGCGAUUGCCUGCAGGCACUCCGGUCAACGGGUUGCUCUGCAGGUAACUCAAUGGGGCUUAUUCUUGAUGCGAGG